GUUUUUGCCAACAAGCUUGCUCUCUGCAGUUAUUAGAUUCACGGGGGAACUAUUAUUACCCUGUUUCUGACAACAGAUGGUUCCAUCCAACAUGGUAGCCACAGCCUUUCUUCUCCCAUCGGGCUAUUCGGUGGAGGACACGACUAUUGAAGGCGCUGACAGAGUCCACAAAUCAUUUAAAAAUGGAAAUUCGCAUGAAGAUAUGAUGUAUCUAAAAAACCCGUACCACGCAAAACUUCAAGUUCAACAAACUUUUAAAAUCUAUAACCAGACAAUCCGUUUAGUUUACGCCUUAAUUCCCCCUUUCCACUUUUGGAUUUUAGAUGCGUCUACUGACGGGGCGUGGGGUAAAAGAACGGACGACUCCAAACUGUACAAGAAAUUCGCGGCUAGCGAGAGACGCCGGAUACAACUAGAAAGAGGAUAUCUCCGCUCAAUACAAAAGCGAAGGCAAACGCUUCAUUUACUUAGGCUGUUCCCAGUUGUAACUCGGAUGCGCCCGCCCCCACCCUGACAAUCACUAUGGUUUGGUCCGAGGGAGGCCACCGCCCUACUCGCCGGAAGUGGGUGAGACGAGAGUGGUCACGUGGGUCUGGGCGCCUGCGUUUAGAAAGGCCCCGCGAAAUACUGGGCAAUCUGCCUUCUGUAGCAGGGGAGAUUGUACUUGUGUCUUUUUCAUACUGAGCUAUAGCUCAGCCCUUUUUAAAAAAGUAUUUUGCCAAGUCAGUAAGAUUCCCAGGCGAGGCUCGAAUUUGGACUUCUCCAGCCUUAGCCUUCUAGGGUCCCAAAAUUGUAGACGUGCACCACCAUUCUCGGUUUCUGUUUUGCUGAGCUCAAGAGCAGCUGCUGGUUUGUUUUAAUCGUGCUACAAGGGGCGUUAGGGGAGUUAGUGCGUAGGAGGGAAGCAGAGAUUUUGGCUGGGGAGAUCUGGAGUUCUGGAGGUGGGCUGCAGGACAGUGAAUGGCCUUCAUGGCUCUGCUUAGUGAUUAUCAUUGGGCUGGGAGUAGCUCAGAUACUUUCGGGUGGUAAAAAGCAUGUUGUUGACAAGCGGAGAUCCUGGAAUUCAUCUCCAGCACCAAAAAAUGUAAGGUAGUAUUGAGAAAUAUGAAGUGAAUGUCUUUCAUCAGAUCAGUGGGCAGCACUGGGAGGCCGGGCUGCCUGCGUUGGCGGUGUGGGCGAGGGAGACAUGGCCCUCAGCGCUCUGCGGGUAGGAGAGAACCUGUCCAGGCGAUUGAUCGAGGGCAGGUGAACAGGAGGAAGACAGGUUUGGGAGGUGCUUGGCUCUUUGCAGAAAAGCAAUGUGAACACACAGACCCCUGGGACAGUCGCAUUGGAAGCAGGAGGCGGGAACUGAGCAAAGUGUUUGAAUCCAACCAUGGAUUCCUUUACAGACCAGCAAAAGGACAUUUAAAAAUGGGAAGUAACCACAAAUCAAGAGCAUUCUGGAGCCUGAGGCAGGAGGAUCACCAGGAGUUCAAGACUGGGGCUACACUGAGUUCAAGGCCAGACUGAACUACCUGCAAGACCUUGUCUCAAAAAAAGCCAAAAACAAUAAAACACAAAUCAAAGCUGGGCAUGGUGGCUCACACCUGUAAUCCCAGCACUCGGGAGGCUGAGGCAGGAGGAUCAUUUUGAGUUCAAGACCAGCCUGGGCUAUAAAGUGAGCUCAAGAGCUGCCUGAACUGCCUAGACAGACCCUGUCUCAAAAAAAAAAAAAAAGACCCAAGACAAAAGCAAUGUUUCCUGAAUUCUGUCAUAGAGCCUGGGAACUUUCUAGGGAAGCUAUGCAGGGGUCCCCUGAAGUGACCCUCUUGGUUCUAUUUUCUGUAGCAAGCCUUUCCCAAAGGUUAGGUUUGAUGAGAAUGAAAAAAGAAAUGACCUCCUGAGGUGAAGAUUGGCAAGUAUGGGUUAACUGUACAGCUAAGCUCCCUGAGAAAGUUGGUUAUGACCUCAGCUGUAUAUGGGCACAACUAUAAUGUCAGUGAAGCAUAACAGACUUGGAAAGUUCCACCAGAACUGCCCCCAGCCCCUUGACCACUGUUCACUCCUUUAACCGCUGCUCUGCUUUUGUAACUCUGCUUUGUGCUGACCUCUAAUGAAAAUGAAAAAUCAUCCUGUGAGGAAGAAACGACAUACAAAUAGAAAUGAAGUUUUAUUCAGGGCCCUCAGCAGGACAGGAGUCCCCUGUGAAGACGCUGGCAGAUACAACUGCUCUUUGCUCCUAAAUUCUGGGUCCUGUUGGUUCUGUUGGGGAUGCUGUUCAUUUUCCUGCUUCAGGAGGAUCUGUGUGGGUUGGGGAUUUAGUGCAGUGGCAUAAGAGCCUGCCUGGCAAGCACAAGGUCAUGAGUUCAAUUUCUGGUACAAAAAAAAAAAAAAUAGGAUUUGUGAUGAAUGUUAGACAAUUGAGCCUUCACCCUAACUUGCUUUGUCUCAGAAAAAUAAAGUGCCGGCAUUGAAAUCCUGUGAUGCUCAGCAGCAGUGGAGAAGUUGGGGUGGUUGUACAGUGUUGGGGGUCCCUUGUAAUGUGGUCUAUCCUCAUACUGUCAGAGGACCAGAGCCAGCAGGGUGUGCAGAGGCUGUUGAGUAGGGGCCUAAGUAAAACUUCAGAGGUCUCUGUGUUCCUAUGGACAUGAAGGCUGCAGGAGGACCUGACAUCAUCCAGCAGGACAGGAGGUUGGUUCUGAGGCUCCUCUUGGCUAGGGACCCCCAGGCUCCCCAGCCUUGCCAUGUUAUGCCCAAUCAUUCUGCACCUCCUAUAAGCAUCUUACCUGUUUGUUUCUUUCCUGAGGGUCCCGAUUCUGUUUUUCCAUCAGAGAAUUGCAAGUCAGUGCCUGUACCAGUCCUACUAAACUACAGACUAUGGGAUGAGGCCUAGGCAUCUGUCUAGAAUGUUCCGCCAUGUAGUGCUUAUGCUGACUGGCUGGUAUUAGCAUUGCUGUUGCAUUCUGAUAUUUCUGCAGUAGAAUUAUAGUCAUGGUUUAUUAAACUACUGCUAUAGAUGAAAAGAGAAGUAGAGGGGAGAGUAUGUCUCAGAUAAAACUUGGACUGCUGAGUUAUUUUUAGACAGGGCGCCAAUGUAAUUUUUAGAGUUUAGUGUGUAUGCAUGAGGUGGCCAGGAGAGAGAGAUACAUACACUUAUGCAUAAAUUGUGGACAAACUAAUGAAGCUUUGCAUGGUAUAGAAGACAAAUUUUAAAGAAGAGAAAAUCUUAUUCCAGUAUAGUCAUGCAUGCUCUGUGGAGGGAGUAAAUUCUGCAAAAUAUGCCCUGGGGCAAGUUUGUCAUUUGGGGAACAAUAUGUAGGACUUCCACAAGUGGCCUAGUGACUGUGUCAUCAGGUGAUACAGUUACGAGGGAUUACCAUUGUAUAUGUGGUCUGUCAUGCAUUGAAAUACUAACUUGUCACACAUGACUGUAUUUGAAAGCAUAUUUACUAGGAUACAGAGACUAAAUGUCUGUUUUGUCAAAUAAGAAUCCAAACAACUCUGAUGUUGCAAUUGUAACUGAAGGUGAGCAAAGUUUCCUGGCCAUUGACCUUGUACUGUAAUGAUAGCUGCUUCCUCCCACAGCAAGGCCUUUCCUAUCUGUGAGGGUCUCCAAGGGGAUCCAGGGCCUGGAGGAAGCUGCCCAGUAAUUCACAGGAUAUUUGAAGCUCCCUGAAAUCCGAAGCUCCAGAACUGCAGGGAGCAUAAACAUUUACUUCCUGCAUGUUGCAUUCACUGACGUGAAAACCUCAUGCUUGGUGUGAGUAGAUGAGACACAGGUAGGGGAUAAGGGUACAGACAACCUUUACACACAGCACAAAUAACAGGCUCAUCAAUGGAUUGCAGCAAUGAAUCAAAAGUAAAUUUAGAGCCCAAGUGUGAAAGCUACCCAAAUGUCCCCCGAUAGACAAAUGGCUACAAAAAAUAUGGAGUCUGCCCAUGCACUGGGCUAUCGUUUCUCUCUUGAAAAGAAAGAAACAGACAUCUGCACCAGUGACAGAUCCUGAAGACAUCGCACUCACUGAAGUGAGACACACAAGGACAAAUGCAGUUUGGUCCACAUGACGGCAAGGCACAUGAGGGGCCCGAAGCUAUCCAUGCAUAGGGACACAAAGGAGAACAGUAGUCACCAGGGGCUGCAAGAGGGGACACAUGAGUCAGUGUUUCAUGUGGGUAGAGUCAGUUCAGGAUGAUGAAAAACUCUCAGACGUGGGUGGUGGCAGUGGCUGCACACGAAGGCAAACAGUUGUGUGCUACUUACGACAUCUCUGCCAACCAGCUCGGGACCACGUACAGGAGGGUAGUUGUAAGGGAUGGUGUCAUGCAGUGACAUCAUGACCUUGUCAAUUGGAUAGGGUCACUCUAUAAUGUGAGCAUAGUGACAAAAUCAACUUAUUACAGAAAGCUAAGUCAGAUUAAAAAUGAGCAGGCAGUCUUCAAGGGACCAGGCUCUCAAAGCAGUCAGUGCAACAUUGAGACACAUCAAAACUGUGGCUGGAGACGGGAAGAGAGCCAGGCCUGCAAGCCUCCCUAUAGACAGCAGCUUGAGAUCGUACUGUAAGCAUCACCACCUGGUCCAGUGAGCCUAGAUAAGGCGUCACAUGCACAGGUGUCCUAAUCCAGACUCCUAUCCCUUUGAACUGCCUUUGACCUUUCCAUGUUAGAAGUUAAAGAUAAGCUGAAGUUAGUGAUGCCCACCGUAUACCCUCACUUCGGGCCUUGCUUCCCUAUUGGAUUAACAGUAGCUACUAUAUUUGUAACCCCACAGGUUGGCCUCAGGCUUUCCCAGAAUGGUCUAAGAUGUGAUCAUUUUCACCUAUAAAGAACUCCAAAGUCCCUCAAUGGCACCCACUUUCAGGAACCCUCCUGUCACUCAGGAGCUUUCUCUCAACAAAUUUUUCCUACUUUUAACCUCCUUUGCCCUCAUAUCCAUUCUCUGAUUAUUGAGAGACACAAACUUGGCACAUCUGACACCUGACGGGUUGAGAGUCACUUGCCUGUGAAAGCUGACAAUAGCUUUUUCAGAACAUACCCCAUCAUGAAGAGUGCCUUAAGGCUCUCAACCCUAUACUUUAAAAUGAUACAAACUAACCAAGCAUGGUACGAAUACCUAUAAUCUCAGACCACAGGAGACCCUAUUUGAAAAACAAAACCAAACAAAUGAAACAAACUGCUACAAAUCAACUGGGAGUGGUGGCAUAGGCCUGUAAUCCCGGUGGGGAGGGGGCCGCAAAGGCCUAGACGGUCACCUUCUUUCUGCAUCACCCUCCCAUCUCAUCCCACCUCCACAGAAAAGAUCAUAUUCUGUAGAUUUUCCACUUAGUAUUUUCUAACCUGUGGUUUCAUACCUAUAGUACAAAAGUGUUUCAAAUUUCUAGGCCAAUGGUGAUACAGUUGCUCCGGCACUUGCAAUGUAUAGUAUCAAUCACUAGGGGGCUGGGGAUUUAGCUCAGCGGCAUAAGUGCCUGCCUUACUAGUAGGCAGUCGUGAGUUUGAUCCCUGGUACUGAUAAAAAUGAAAAAGACAAAAAAAAAAAAAAAAGUAUCAAUCACUAAUAGGAAUUUUGGGCUGGCUUUAGGUGACCCAUAGACUCAGGAUGGUAGGUACCAGUGGAAGUAUAUGUCCAGAUGUCCUUAACUAAAGGAAGAUGAAAAGGAAGCCGGUCCUCAGUGGAACCUUCAGUAGGCUGCUUGGUAAGGAGACAACUCACCUGCCACCCAGCUCUUAAGGAACACUGGAAACUUCUGGUCACUUCCUUCACUGUUGAAGAGAGCCUGCUAUGAGCCCUGAGCUCACCAUUCCUGGAGGACUCCAGUGCAAUCCCUCUCCAGAGACAUGCAGAUCGCAAACCUUGGUUCCACCAAGCCCCCUGACAUCCAGCAAUUACUGACUCACCUGAAUUGGAAAUGGUAACAGCACCUGAGGGGCCACAGGAUUAUAGUUACACCAAGGUGUGAUCAUCACAAGAAAAAGUGACCCAGAUGCCUUCUGACUGCUGAGGUGAGGCAUUCAUACUCUGAGGUCCAAACCAGGCAGAGUUGCUGCUACCCAGGUCCUCCCUCAAUUGCUGCUUUGGGACUUUCAGGACUGAGGCCCUCUCCUCUGCCUGGUGACCAUUCUUCUUCCUCUUCCCAUUCACUUCCCAGAAUCUUCUCUGUGGCAGGCACAGUUCUGUUCCCUAAUUUUCUUCCUCCCAGGGACUCCCUUGCCAGGUCACAACUUAACACUGAGCGCUCUUCACAGAGGAUCUAGUCAUCAAGAGUUUCUUGGGCUGGUACAUGAACGUGGGGGCCUCUGACAUAGUGAGGUCCUUCUCCCCUGAGCUGGGCUCUUUGUGGCACUGUCCAGGGCGCAAAGGGUCCCAGCCCUACAGUUACUCCUAUGUCCCUGCUAGGAACUGCCACCUCACCUCCUCCCCCCACCAAAAAAAAAACCCUCCAGACCCUUUAGGACUCAGGGUCAUCUUCUUUCUGGGCCUUGGCUGGGCCUGCCAGGGUCCUCAGUGAACUGAACACAGAUGACAGUCUCCCUGCAUAUGGUCUCUCUGGCUGAGGCUGCAUGAAGCAUCUGAUCCUGCCUCUGAGUUUUCAGGGAACCUGUUUUCUCUAACUUUAAAGACCCCAUUCUGAUCCAAGUGACCUCAAUGCCUAGUCUCAAUUAGAUCCUUGGAAGAGCCAUCUGAGGAGAAGGGAGUCUGUGAGCCUGGGCUGGCAGGGACACGCUAGAUUGGCACAGAUGGGAAUGGGAGAGACCAGGGAUGGGUGACAAGGAAGACUGGCUGGACACGAGGGUGGUGUCAUUGCAGGUCUUCAUUCACUCUGGAGUUGCUUCCCUUUCCAGAUCCAACCUUACGCUCUUGUGCGCUGGGUGUGGGACGGAGAUCGCACCCUCAUUCCCAGGACCCUGGAACCCUGAGGACAAUGACCUCAAGGUGUGUGUGCGUGUGUCCCAGAGUUCAGACAGCAUUGCUGUGGUAUAUCUAGAGAAUGCAGGGAGGCUAGGGGAGGCUCCUCUCAUCACCCUCCCACCCUGUCCACUGUCCACACAUCAGGAACCAGCCCAGGCCGGCCCAAGGUUGGCCUCUCCCUGUUCCCCUCACAGCCAACCAAACUGACAAGCAGACAACACAAGGUGUGACAACUUUGGAGUGUUGUCUUGGGUGCUAGGACACUGCACAGACUUCACACACACAAUCUCAGAGGGAUUGUAGGGAUUAUUUAAUUCAGAGCAAUGGAGUCCAAAUGACACUGCAGAUUAAAUGCUGAUUUCUGUCCCCAGUGAAUACCCACUAGACAUAAACUUCUAUUUCUCCUUCUAAAAGUUGUUUCUAGGGGCCAGGGAUUUGGCUUAGUGGUGUAAGUGCCUGCCUGACAAGUGCAAGGUUGUGAGUUCGAUCCCUGGUACCAAAAGAGAAAAAAAGAAAUAAAAGUUGUUUCUGUUUGU